UAAUAGCCCCGAUUGAAAUGAAAAUCCUUUAAAAAAAUGAUUUUUUUUUUAAAGAUUGAAGUGGAAAGCGGGAACUGUU
rnacentral:sRNA from 1 species